rnacentral:rRNA from 1 species
AAAAACAUUUCUUAUAAAAUUUUUAUAAGUAAAAUCUGCUCCAUGUUUAUAAAUAGCCGCAGAAUAUUAACUGUGCUAAGGUAGCAUAAUCAUUUACCUUUUAAUUAAAGGUUUGUAUGAAAGAUUUUACAAUUAAAUUAUUUUUUUAUAUAUAUAUAUUAAAUUUAAAUUAAAAAUAAAAAUGUUUUUAUAGACAAAAAAGACGAUAAGACCCUAUUGAACUUUACUAAUGUUUAGCUGGGGAAGCUAAUUAAAUACAAUUUUAAUAUUCUAUAAAAUAUAGAUUUCUAAUAAAAUUAUCUUAAUCAAGUUACCAUAGGGAUAACAGCGUAAUACAAUUUUAAAGCUCAUAUUAAAAAUUAAGUUUGCGACCUCGAUGUUGAAUUAGAAUACCUAUAAAACGCAGUAGUUUUGAAAGGAGGUCUGU